GAUGAAGAACGUAGCGAAAUGCGAUACUUGGUGUGAAUUGCAGAAUCCCGUGAACCAUCGAGUCUUUGAACGCAAGUUGCGCCCGAAGCCACUAGGCCGAGGGCACGCCUGCCUGGGCGUCACACGCCGUUGCCCCCCCAUCUACUCCUUCGGGAUUGCGGGGGGGCGGAUGAUGGCCUCCUGUGCGCCUAGCCGCGCGGUUGGCAUAAAUACCAAGUCCUCGGCGACGCACGCCACGACAAUCGGUGGUUGCGAAACCUCGGUUGCCCGUCGUGUGCGUUCGUCGCGCAUCGAGGGCUCGAAAAAUGCUCGGCUCCGGCUGGGCUUUCAACGCGACCCCAGGUCAGGCGGGGUUACCCGCUGAAUUUAAGCAUAUCAAUAAGCGUAGGA
rnacentral:misc_RNA from 1 species